UACGGAGGAUGCAAGCGUUAUCCGGAAUUAUUGGGCGUAAAGCGUACGUAGGCGGCUUAUCAAGUCUGGGGUCAAAGACCACAGCUUAACUGUGGAAAGGCCUUGGAAACUAGUGAGCUGGAGUGAGGUAGGGGUUGCGGGAAUUCCCGGUGUAGCGGUGAAAUGCGUAGAUAUCGGGAAGAACACCUGAGGCGAAAGCGCGCGACUGGGCCUUAACUGACGCUGAGGUACGAAAGCGUGGGGAGCAAACAGG
rnacentral:rRNA from 1 species